rnacentral:rRNA from 1 species
GACAGAGGAUGCAAGCGUUAUCCGGAAUGAUUGGGCGUAAGGCGUCUGUAGGUGGCUUUUUAAGUCUGCCGUCAAAUCCCGGGGCUUAACCCUGGACAGGCGGUGGAAACUACCAAGCUGGAGUACGGUAGGGGCAGAGGGAAUUUCCGGUGGAGCGGUGAAAUGCGUAGAGAUCGGAAAGAACACCAACGGCGAAGGCACUCUGCUGGGCCGACACUGACACUGAGAGACGAAAGUUAGGGGAGCAAAUGGG